UUUGAGCUAAGCUCUGUUUCUAAGUGGGAACCAAUUUUAGUUUUUGUGUUAGCGGUUCCUUUUUGAGAGUGACACAAGGGCGAGAGUGUCUGAUUUUGAGCCACCGGGUGGCGACGUUUUUCCGUUUGAACAAGCAAGUGGUGAAGAACGCAAGAAAUGCUUAUUUUGUGUCCUUUCUGAUAGCAUUUUUGUUUAUUGUUGAAACCGGAGUUUGAAGACCUGUAUUGUCAGGAUUUACGUUUUUCUUCGUUUUCUCCCUCGAGCAAAUGCGGCAAUGAGUUCUCACGGCAUGUGUGUGGAGAAGUUGAAUAAAUGCCCGUUUUGAAGAA